rnacentral:tRNA from 1 species
GGUAGGAUGGCCGAGUUUAAAGCGGUGGAUUGUAGCCCCACAAACAGAGGUUUGAUUCCUCUUCCUAUCA